AUAUAACCUAAAACGUGAUGG
rnacentral:siRNA from 1 species